rnacentral:rRNA from 1 species
GACGAACGCUAGCGGCGUGCCUAAGGUAUGCAAGUCGAACGGGAGCUUCGGCUCCAGUGGCGAACGGUCGAGUAACACGUAGACCACCUGCCGCGCAGUGGGGGAUAACUGUGGGAAACUGCAGCUAAUACCGCAUGCGGUGCCUGGGAGCCUUCCCGGGUGACUAAAGGGGGAGGCGCAAGCUCUUUCGCUGGGCGGAUGGGUCUGCGGCCUAUCAGCUUGUUGGGNGGGGUAACGGCCUACCAAGGCGACGACGGGUAGCUGGUCUGAGAGGAUGAUCAGCCGGAC